GGAGAUGUAGCUCAGUUGGUUAGAGCGGCGGUUUCAUAGGCUGCAUGUCGGGAGUUCAAUUCUCUCCAUCUCCACCA
rnacentral:tRNA from 6 species